UGAACUGAGAGAUAUUGAGGUUUAAAUGAGUCAAGGUCUCAGAAAGUAGAAUUUUAGGUCCAGUGAGGGUUUUUAAGAUUUCAUGCAAUCUACUAGUUGGAUUGGAGUAAAACUUAUGUGAAAAGAUAUUAGACUUGUUUUUCUAUGUCCAUGAGAAAUUUGAAACCAAUCGAAUGGCGCAAAGAAGAGAAAUUGGCUCUGGAAAGUUAGCAACAAGAUUGGAGAAGGAGGCCGGCUAACACCCGAGCACAUUUUUGAGGUUUUCGUCAAUUUGGUAACUCCGAUCCUUUUCAAUUUUUUUUGCUUAUUUUGAA
rnacentral:lncRNA from 1 species